AGGAAAAUCGUCAUAACUCAAAAUAGGGAUGAAAAUUUCACAAUUUUCAAAGUUUAUUCUUAAUGUUAUCAAAACGAACAUUUUAUUUUAUUGUUAGGAUGCAAGGUAAACAGUUAAAUUGAUUUUUAAAUGUAAACAAUCUAAGAUUGUGAUAAGUUAUAUAAGAAACAAGACAUUUUUAAACCUCUGUACUGAACAAUUUUCAUUUUUUGAAAUUAAGUCACUAUUCUUGUGCACCGACGAUUUUAUUAAAUUAAAAAAUAAUAUUGUGUUGGUGUACCUACCAAUUCACUAGCGUUCUUCAUCUAGACUC